rnacentral:lncRNA from 12 species
GCCUCUGCUCCACCUACAGAAGAUGACUUCAGCUUUACCCUUUGCUCCUUUUUGAUGAAUUCUAGAAACCAGGAAGCCGAUGGGCCCAGUCCUUUCCUUAUUGGGCAAGAUGCUCUGUACCAGUCCAUCUUGUAGGCUGCCAUGUGGAUUUCUCUUGAGCCGGCAGUCCACCCAUCCCUGGCCAGCUCAGCUGAGGCCCAGAAGGUGGCCUGCAGGGCCUGGGAGGGGGGAAGUUCCCCCAGAAGGGGCUGUGCAUGCCCAGCAGCGUUUCCAUGUCAACCCAAGGACAUGAAACAAGGCUUGCCUAAUUUGCAGCUGAAACCUGGUCAGUCAGGUUUCAGAAUGGUGUAGAGAAAUCGAGAUGGUGACCUCCAACCAGCAUGAUGGGACACGAUGAGGACCUGCCUGGAAAUGCUUCGACUCCACUCAUGUCCUCACUCAACUUCCCAGUGCAAAAGAGAGCAACCCAGCAAUUUCCUUCAGCUAAUGCAUCGGAGGAGGAAAUCAGGAACCUCUAAAGUUAUGAAUUUUGCUCCCAUCUCCCCCCUCCAAGGAAACAGUAUGCUUCUCAGGUGGGGACUGGGCUCUUUUCGGAUAGAUUUCUAUCAAGAAAGUGUGACUCAAGUCUACUCAUGCGUCGGGCGUGCUUGAGGUCUGCUCUACCAGCUGUGUGACUUGGAGCAAAAUACUUAGCCUCUCUGAGACUCGUGUUCAAAAUGCAUGAAAGAGAGAGAGUAAGACCUCUUCGUCUAAGAGGGUGUGGGAACUCGGCGCCGUGAUGUAGGUGGAGCCUCUGGCACAGCGUGGGCGCGGAGCAGGUGUGUGCUUAGCACAGGCUCCUUUCUCGUCUCCCCGGAGCAGGGGUCUUACCAGCAUCUGAUCCCCUCCCCUGCCACCCACUAAAGAUUAUGGCCUCUCAAACACAUGAGUCAUUUGCAGAUUCAAACUAUUAAUAUACAAUUGCUUUCGUGCACUUUACAUAAGACUCUAAAAAUUAUGUUACAACUAUUGAUUCCAAGAUUCUGUCAAGACAAGAACGAUCGGCCUCAGUGUCCCACCCUGCCUGCCUGCCCGCCUGCCGCACAGCUGUGCAGGUCAUGUGUUUGAUGCGCACAGGGGCGGCUGAUGUGUUAGGUCAGCCUGCAUCUGCUGCUGGGAGCAGAGAGUCCGGCUGCCAUAGCAAAUGGCCUUGUGGUUCCUGUAGGCUAGGAAGCCCAGAAGUCUGAGCUUGCUGGCCUCACUGUCACCGCUGAGCGAUGGCACCAGGGACCCAGGCUCAUCAAGUUGCCUUUUCAUCCUCAAUCUUGUUUCCUCUUGGUUUCAAAAGGGCUGCUGCAGCCCCAGACAUCAUGUGUACCUUCAAGACAGCAAGAAGGGAGACGAGGGCAGGCUGUGGCCAUGUCUGUGCCUUUCGUCAGGAAAGCUAGAGAUUUUACAGACGCCGGAUGACUUCUGUUUUCAUUCAGUGGGCCUCUGGCUGCAAGAGGAAUGUAUUUAUCUGGGUUGAAUGGUGGUUCUUUGCUACCAAGGCAGAGGGUCGGGAUGGAUGUCGGGUGGACUGCUAAAUGGGCCUGUCUUAAAAACUCCGGAUGACCCAAGUAUAGCCACUUAGGAGAGAGGCUGGAAAUAGUCAGAUGGGGAGCCCCUCUGGGGCUAUAGGGACGAGAGCUGGUCCUGCAGAGGAGGCUCUUUCACUUGGGGGGCCCUGUUACUUUUGUGAGGAGGGAAAGGAAAGGAAAUGGGUAACAGUCCACAGACAGACUCCUUCCUGCAGCUCGGACAUCUUACAGAACGAGCAGCUUGACGCCUGUGGGGGGACAUUGCCUUCAUCGUUCUGGCCUAUUCAGCUUUGUGUUUAGACAGCACUUGUGGCAAUAAAUGAAUACGACUGGCUUUUAAAACA